rnacentral:rRNA from 1 species
CCUACGGGUGGCAGCAGUGAGGAAUAUUGGUCAAUGGCCGUAAGGCUGAACCAGCCACGUCGCGUGCCGGAAGAAGGAUCUCUGGUUUGUAAACUUCUUUUAUAGGGGAAUAAAGGUAUCCACGUGUGGAUAUUUGCAUGUACCCUAUGAAUAAGCAUCGGCUACCUCCGUGACAGACGCCGCGGUAAUACGGAGGAUGCGAGCGUUAUCCGGAUUUAUUGGGUUUAAAGGGUGCGUAGGUGGUUUUUUAAGUCAGCUGUGAAAGUUUGUGGCUCAACCAUAAAAUUGCCGUUGAAACUGGAAGACUUGAGUGUGUUUGAGAUAGGCGGAAUGCGUGGUGUAGCGGUGAAAUGCAUAGAUAUCACGCAGAACUCCGAUUGCGAAGGCAGCUUACUAAGCCAUAACUGACACUGAAGCACGAAAGCGUGGGGAUCAAACAGGAUUAGAUACCCGUGUAGUC